GGCUCAAUGGUCUAGUAGUAUGAUUCCUCGUUUGGGUCGAGGAGGUCCCGGGUUCAAUUCCCGGUUGAGCCC
rnacentral:tRNA from 1 species